CAAAAGCAGAUAAAUAACAAUAUAAACUGAAGAGAGGUUAGAAGCCCUCAAACACGUUUGAGUUGGAGUUGAGUAGGGCUUCUUGAGCUUCGGGUCUCCUCUUGAAUGUCUGGUCGACUUGAAUGCAGGAGGAGGCUUCUUUAAAUACUGGGAAGAGGAAGUUGGAUGGAGUUAAUGCCGCUCUUCCCUCUUUUCGUUGAAAACCAACUUGCAGAGAAUGAAAGCUUGAUCUCUUUGAAUGAAAUGGUGCUUCUCUACCUUGCUACAGUCCUCUGUGGCUAUUUAAACCAUCCCCCACAGAAACUAGCCGUUAGAGACCUUUUUCUGCCCGUUCUGCACACUCUGC
rnacentral:lncRNA from 1 species